rnacentral:rRNA from 1 species
AUGGCCGGCGGCGGGGCGGAAGAGCCGCAGAUCCGCGAGGAGCUGGACGCCCUCGAGCACCGGCGCCAGUCUCCACCUCGUCUGCUGCCGUCGCGGCAUGGUCCCCGGGAAACUGCCUCGCCGCCGAUCCCCGACGACCUAUUGCUCGACAUCUUCUGCCGCAUUUCCAGUCCAACAGAUCUCAUCCGCACCUCCGCCGCCUGCGUCACCUUCCGCUGCCUUGUCGCCGACCGCUCCUUUCUCCGGCGGUACCGCAAGCUCCACGCCCCACCCCUUCUCGGCUUCCUCGGCGACGAACGCAAAGUCUUCCACCCUGCCGACCCGCCUCACCCCUCCGCGCCGGCAGCCAGCGCCCUCGCCCUCGCCGCCGACUUCUCAUUCUCCUUCCUCCCCGCCCCUGCCCAUGACUGGGAGGUCGAGGACACCCGUGACGGUCGUGUCCUCCUCCUUGAUAGACCCCGCAUCCAGCAACUCACCGACUUGACACGCUGA